UACAGGGGGGGCAAGCGUUGUUCGGAAUCACUGGGCGUAAAGCGCACGUAGGCGGAUUGUUAAGUCAGGGGUGAAAUCCUGGAGCUCAACUCCAGAACUGCCUUUGAUACUGGCGAUCUCGAGUCCGGGAGAGGUGAGUGGAACUGCGAGUGUAGAGGUGAAAUUCGUAGAUAUUCGCAAGAACACCAGUGGCGAAGGCGGCUCACUGGCCCGGUACUGACGCUGAGGUGCGAAAGCGUGGGGAGCAAACAGG
rnacentral:rRNA from 1 species